rnacentral:rRNA from 1 species
UACGUAGGUGGCAAGCGUUGUUCGGAAUUAUUGGGCGUGAAGGGCGCGUAGGCGGUUUGUUAAGUCAGUUGUGAAAGCCCCGGGCUCAACCUGGGAAUGGCAGUGGAAACUAGGGGACUUGAAUCUGGCAGAGGGGGGUGGAAUUCCACGUGUAGCAGUGAAAUGCGUAGAGAUGUGGAGGAACACCGAUGGCGAAGGCAGCCCCCUGGGCUGAGAUUGACGCUCAGGCACGAAAGCGUGGGGAGCAAGCAGG